GACGAACGCUGGCGGCGUGCUUAACACAUGCCAGUCGAACGGAAAGGCCCUGCUUUUGUGGGGUGCUCGAGUGGCGAACGGGUGAGUAACACGUGAGUAACCUGCCCUUGACUUUGGGAUAACUUCAGGAAACUGGGGCUAAUACCGGAUAGGAGCUCCUGCUGCAUGGUGGGGGUUGGAAAGUUUCGGCGGUUGGGGAUGGACUCGCGGCUUAUCAGCUUGUUGGUGGGGUAGUGGCUUACCAAGGCUUUGACGGGUAGCCGGCCUGAGAGGGUGACCGGCCACAUUGGGACUGAGAUACGGCCCAGACUCCUACGGGAGGCAGCAGUGGGGAAUAUUGCACAAUGGGCGGAAGCCUGAUGCAGCAACGCCGCGUGCGGGAUGACGGCCUUCGGGUGGUAAACCGCUUUCGCCUGUGACGAAGCGUGAGUGACGGGAAUGGGUAAAGAAGCACCGGCUAACUACGU
rnacentral:rRNA from 1 species